CGCGUAGGCGGGCCGAAAAGUCAGGGGUGAAAUCCUCCAGCUUAACUGGAGAACUGCCUUUGAUACUGGCGGUCUGGAGUAAGGUAGGGGCAUGCGGAACUGAUGGUGGAGCGGUGAAAUGUGUUGAUAUCAUCAGGAACUCCGGUGGCGAAAGCGGCGUGCUGGACCUUUACUGACGCUGAGGCGCGAAAGCCAGGGAGCAAACG
rnacentral:rRNA from 1 species